AGGCAUGCAAGUCGAACGAGUCUCUGGGGGGUAACUCCUAGAGGAAAGUGGCGAAAGGGGCAGUAAUGUAUGGGUAACCUACCUUGAGGUCCGGGAUAGCCAUUCUAACGGAUGGGUAAUACUGGACGGCCUGAGUUGUCGGCAUCGAUAAUUUAGUAAAGGUUACGCCUCGAGAGGGGCCCAUAUGAUAUUAGCUAGUUGGUGAGGUAAUGGCUCACCAAGGCAAAGAUGUCUAGCGGGUGUGAGAGCACGACCCGCGUCAUUGGCACUGAGACACUGGCCAAACUCCUACGGGAGGCUGCAGUCGAGGAUCUUCGGCAAUGGACGAAAGUCUGACCGAGCAACGCCGCGUGUGCGAUGAAGGCCUUCGGGUUGUAAAGCACUGUCGAGGGGAAACAAGCCGUAAGGUUGAGUGACCCCUGGAGGAAGCACGGGCUAAGUUCGUGCCAGCAGCCGCGGUAAGACGAACCGUGCAAACGUUAUUCGGAAUCACUGGGCUUAAAGGGCGCGUAGGCGGGUGAUCAAGUCAAUGGUGAAAUCCUCCAGCUUAACUGGAGAAGUGCCUUUGAUACUGAUUGUCUAGAGGGAGGUAGGGGCAUGUGGAACUUCAGGUGGAGCGGUGAAAUGCGUAGAUAUCUGAAGGAACGCCAGUGGCGAAAGCGAUGUGCUGGACCUCUUCUGACGCUGAGGCGCGAAAGCUAGGGGAUCAAACGGGAUUAGAUACCCCGGUAGUCCUAGCCCUAAACUAUGGGUACUAGAUUGUGGACUUUCAUGGGUUCACAGUCGAAGCAAAAGUGUUAAGUACCCCGCCUGGGGAGUAUGGUCGCAAGGCUGAAACUCAAGGAUUGACGGGGGCUCACACAGCGUGAGCAUGUGCUAUCGAGCUACGCGAGAUCUAUCUGAUGACAUAUGUGAAACCGUAGAGUAUGCGAACGCAUGACGAUC
rnacentral:rRNA from 1 species